rnacentral:tRNA from 1 species
GGGCCCAUAGUAUAGCGGUAACACGCGAUCAUGGCAUGAUCGAGUCCGGGGUUCGACUCCCCGUGGGUCCACCA